rnacentral:rRNA from 1 species
UACGUAGGGUGCAAGCGUUAAUCGGAAUUACUGGGCGUAAAGCGUGCGCAGGCGGUGAUGUAAGACAGGUGUGAAAUCCCCGGGCUUAACCUGGGAACUGCAUUUGUGACUGCAUCGCUGGAGUGCGGCAGAGGGGGAUGGAAUUCCGCGUGUAGCAGUGAAAUGCGUAGAUAUGCGGAGGAACACCGAUGGCGAAGGCAAUCCCCUGGGCCUGCACUGACGCUCAUGCACGAAAGCGUGGGGGAGCAAACGGG